AAAAAGGUUUUUAAAGAACACAAAUAUAUUGAUAUUCGCUUUUAACUUAAUAAUAUGAUCUCCAGACAUGAUUUUAGAAUGUAAAUAAUAUACAUUAUACUCAACUCCGUUCAUGUGCAUUCAUAUAACAUUGUUCCUCUUUCGCAUCGUUUCUUUUCCCCCGGCUAAUACCUCCAACGCCUGUACGUACAAUAAACAUAGCAGCAACUGCACAUAUACCUAUGUGACCAUCUUCAAUUCGACGUAACUGCGAGCACCUUCGAUACUAAUACAUUUAAAUCCCAAACUUUAUAUAGUACCUUUAAACCCCACCCAUAAAAACCGCCAAAACUUUCCUCGUGCCUCCUGCACCUAACAUCAAACUUAUAAAUAGUACGUACUGUUACAAAACCAGUAUCCGAACUAGUUAUACUAGUUCCCAUCUAUAAAUAAUACUACAAAUAGCAAACGGG
rnacentral:lncRNA from 1 species